UACGAAGGGGGCUAGCGUUGCUCGGAAUCACUGGGCGUAAAGCGCACGUAGGCGGACUCUUAAGUCGGUGGUGAAAUCCUGGAGCUCAACUCCAGAACUGCCUUUGAUACUGAGGAUCUUGAGUCCGGGAGAGGUGAGUGGAACUGCGAGUGUAGAGGUGAAAUUCGUAGAUAUUCGGAGGAACACCAGUGGCGAAGGCGGCUCACUGGCUCGACACUGACGCUGAGGUGCGAAAGCGUGGGGGAGCAAACAGG
rnacentral:rRNA from 1 species